rnacentral:rRNA from 1 species
CGGGAGGCAGCAGUGGGGAAUAUUGCACAAUGGGCGCAAGCCUGAUGCAGCCAUGCCGCGUGUAUGAAGAAGGCCUUCGGGUUGUAAAGUACUUUCAGCAGUGAGGAAGGUGGUAGUGUUAAUAGCACUAUCAUUUGACGUUAGCUGCAGAAGAAGCACCGGCUAACUCCGUGCCAGCAGCCGCGGUAAUACGGAGGGUGCGAGCGUUAAUCGGAAUUACUGGGCGUAAAGCGCAUGCAGGUGGUUUGUUAAGUCAGAUGUGAAAGCCCGGGGCUCAACCUCGGAAUUGCAUUUGAAACUGGCAGACUAGAGUCUUGUAGAGGGGGUAGAAUUUCAGGUGUAGCGGUGAAAUGCGUAGAGAUCUGAAGGAAUACCAGUGGCGAAGGCGGCCCCCUGGACAAAGACUGACGCUCAGAUGCGAAAGCGUGGGGAGCAAACAGGAUUAGAUACCCUGGUAG